GCAGCAGCGUUAUAGAUGAUGUGUCUGCAGACCUCCCGAUUGGAGGCCAGAGUAGACCAGUAUGUGCUUGUAUGUUUUCACCAAAAGAUCUGGCCUCAGGUCCUAGAUGGUUUUUAAGAAACCAUUUAAGCACGUGACUCAGUUUUGAUUAGAAAUACUGACUGGAUCAUUGGUUUAAGUCAUCUGCUACCAAAGUGUGUCGUAUGAGUUGAUUCACAUCCCUUUGAGAAAUUAUUUCGGGUUUUUUUGCUCCUUUUGCUGCUUCUGGAAGCACCUUUGAGAACAUUCUGGUUCUAGUAGGCAAGCUUCCACUUUCUGACAUAACUUCUUCCUGUUUAGUAUUCAUUUCUUCUUGGGUGUCUAAAUUAUCCUUUAAUGGAAAAAACUCUACUUUUGGCAUUUAGUGUUCUGAUAUUUAUGGAGAGCCCAGUCCUCUUCAGGCUGUUUUGCUGUGAUAAACAGUCCAAGCUGGUUUAAACUGUCGUAGAGAGAUAGACUCUUCAUUCCCCUGUAGAUGCCAAUCUGUCUCAUCUCUACUUUAAUUAGUCUUUAUUGGAUAUGAGUGAUAGAAAUCUACACCCAGCUCCAGAUAAAAUCUCUUUAGUGCCUGAAGAGAGUUUCAUAUGCUUAAAAUUAUUCUCGCUUUGAAAUCACUUAAGGCCAUUUCAUUCAACCCCCUUCACUAACUUGUACGUUUCUGUCGUACAUCAACAGUGACACCUCUAGAUUUAAUUGAAAAAUCUCUAAGAUUUUUUUACUUCUUCUUAAUACCACAUUUUUGCUCUAUACGGUGGUAUGUGAUACCAAGAGUCAUAGUUUUUAAUGAAAAUGGGCAGUAAAGCAGCGCUAUAUACUUCAGUCUUAAGCACUGAGCAUUUCUAUGUAAACUCACCUGCAUAUAUUUGCGUAUUUAGUGGGACAAACAUAAACAUUCUGUCUUAACACUGCAGACAGUGAGCCUUUGAAGCAGAGAAAUACAUAUUUUUAAUCUUGUAUUGGGAAUUGCUCUGUGCAGCCACCUAAUUUGUUUAAGAACCUUGAUACAGUGUUUGUAGAGUUUUUCAAAACAUUUGCCAAUUCAAAUGAGAGAACCUAGAAAAAUGAAGCAUCGUAGCCCUUGAAUUCUUUUAUUUUUAUAAAUAUUUGCAUUUUGAUUACACUAGACUUAAUACCACAUGAGGAAAUGUGAUAUUGGAUCAAAGCUGUUGCUCAUGCUGUAGCUGAGACUUGUUUAAAAUGGCUGAUUUAUUUGUAGUAUUCCCUUCUACUCCAUACUGUUGAGUUACAAGUUACUUUAGCUGAAUAUGUUCCAGUUAGCUCUAAAGAAGAGUAAAUUAUAUUGUCCAGCAUUGUGGACAAAAGAAAGUCUUGCUAUAACAUGUAACAAUGUAUAGAGCUGGUGAUGAAAGAGAUAUAAGAACAUCUAUCAUAAAUAAGAAACUACUCUGAUAUUCUCAGGAUUUGAGAACAUGUAGGCUAGAUCAUAACAGUCCAAAGUGGAGCUAAAAGGGGCAGAAAAACUUAUACCUGAUCUGUGUUGGUAAUUCCUCUAAAAUUUACCAGGUUUGUCAGCUUUAGUUCUGCAAGGAGUUAUGCUCUGCAUAAUCUGUCAUUACAAAUCUAGAUGAUGGAAUAGAAAAUGCUUAUUUGGUUUACUGGCAAUGCUGCACAGAGAAGGAGAUGGAGAUAUUGGAGGGUAGGCUCAGGGUUCAUAAUUAAUUUAAUAAUUAAAUAAUCUGAGGAAAAAAAAUUAUAAUCCCAAAAAGGAUAUGGUGAAGGGGAGAAUGUAGGCAGAGAGGGCAAUAAGAAUGAUGAGUUUGGGUAGUAGGAUAUAUAAGCUGGUGUAAUGUGCGUCUGUAAUUUUCACCACUGUAAGUAAGAAAUCUUAUCUUAAAAACAUGCUGGUGAUACAAGAAUUACUUUUAUUUUUGAGGUGGUUACCUAAGGAACAGAGCUCAGUAAUUUUUGAGUGUUUAAAUUGAGAGGCCUCAUCACCUAUUUUAUAGUCACUUUUUAUGUGGUAUUUAAAUAUUUAGUAUAUAACUUCUGCUAACUGAACUUCCACUUUUAAUUUAGAGGUCAUUUCUUUUUAAAAUCAGACUUUCCAGAUGUUUCAAAUUACACAGCCAUGAAAUAAAGGACUCCAAAGUUGUGGGGGUUGUGCGUUGAUCUGUGAUAGAGACAAAGAUAGAAUCCACUACUCUGUGGAAGCAUUUAAGUAUUUGGACUAAAGAAAUGCUUUUUCUACUUAACCCUUCCAGUUCUUGUCUUCUGUACAAUUUCACUUGAAUAUCCGACUGAUAGCAACCUCUUUAAGUCUUUGAAUUUCCAUGUCACUAAAUCAAGAUCCAUGCUUAUUCAUGAAGAACUAUGCAAUACUUAAUGUCAGAAUGUAGGUUAAUAGAUAUGUACAUAAAUGCUGAAAAGGUUUGAUAACAACCUAAAUUCUGAAAUUUCUUAAUAGCUAAAUGUUUAUCUUUUAGAAUCAUAGUAUGUUUUAAUGUGAUUUUUAUGUAUUUUUAACUGAAGUUUAUAACAUAUGAAGUUCUUAAUAGUUCCUGUGGCGCAAUAAUUUUCUUUGUACAUUAUAAAAGAAAAAAUCUAAAUAUUAACUAUUUUUCUUUUCCAUAUCAGAUUGUGAAAACAAUCCUCUCCUUCGUCCAGGUAUCACCAUGAUAACCGAUGACCCGGUUUGAAAGUUGCAAUCUUCUGGGAAGUCUGAAGUUACUUGGACAGUGGACCCUGAGUUUUAUUCUAGACUCUUUUCUUUGAUUAAGAACUCUUACAUAUUACUCAUGUACCACACUGGAUUUAGAAUAUUAAUUUCUACAGUCAUAUACAAUAUAAUUUUUAUUUCUGUAGCCUUAUAUAAUAUGAAUAGAAUAACAUGUCGUAGUGUCUUGAGAGGGCUUGUGCCUAGUCUUGUUCAAUUUGUCAUUGUAAAAAACCCUAUUUCAGAUUAGUGCUGGAUAUUUAGGUAUGUACAUUAGCGUUGUUCUAGCAGUGUUGUUUUAGCUCACUCUUAUUUUUUUUUUCACCUCCCCGCCUCUGUUUUAUGUGAUGGGUAGUGUUUUUGCACAAAAUUAGGAAAAUAAGCCUGUACCAAAAUUGACAUCCUCAAAGUAAUAAAACUUAAUAGAAGCCACAUUUGUGAUGGACUUCUUGUUAACAAGAAUCUAUAGGAUCGCUGCCGACAUAUAAUGUUACAGAUAUCUCAUUCUUAAUCAGUGUAGGUUCAGAAACUUGGUUUCAGAGGUAGAGGAAGUGAAUAGGGGCAGAAGGAAGAACUACAACUUAAGGGUAGAAUCUUGUUGAUUUAUAUUUUUGUGGUAUUUUCAGGUUAUUUAUUGAGUUUUGUUACUGUAAAUGGCUUAUUUGAUUGUCCUUGUUAUUUCAUAAAUAAUUUUACAUUUCAGUGACUAGUUAUAGCUGACCUAAUCUUGAUUGUACAGGCCAUGUGAGAAAAGAGAGUAAACGCUAUUGCCACCAGGGAACUUGCUUAACAAAAACCAGUGCUGUCCAGUCUAAAAGUAUGGACUGGUCUUUAAAAAAAUCCUGAUUCAGCUGGAAUCUCAAAUGAAACAAUAUACUUGUGCCUGUGGUAUAACAUACAUGUACUUAGAGAAAAGUGCAGCAAACACAGAAUAUUUGACUUUUAAUUAUUUCUUUACCUCAGUGACUUCUCUGUUAAGAUGAAUAUUCAACUGUAUUUUUGGCCAGAUCUUCAGUUGGCAUUAUUUGUUAUACCAUUACUGGCUUUUCUUGACACCAGUUAAAGUGAUGGUCCUUUAGCAGGCUACGUUUUCACUCGAUCCCUCCUGUAAACAUUUUUAAAUCUUCUAUAACCUAGAGAGAUUGAGUUGUGUAUGAGGCCAAAUUACCAUAAAAAUGAAAUGUAUUCAACAAAAUAAGUACUUUUUUCCCGGUGGUAAUAUCUCCAUGUUCAAAGGUUGAAAUGUAAUAAGAAAAGUGCAGAAAGGAUAGUUGCAACUUUUCAGUUAUAGAAUCAGUUUUGUUCAUGCUGUAGAAUAAAAGUGUUUCUGAAGCAAGUCAUUCAUUAAGAAUUACUGGGGACUUCAGUCUGUAUAAUAACCAUGAUAAAAGGGGCUUAGCAUUCAGCAUGAAUUAUAGUGAAAGCAUAUAUUGCGUAUAUGUACACACAGUAUAUCAUGAUAAAAUUGUUUAAGCACAUUAUUAAAGUUUCUAAUAAUAUAUUCAAACUUUGUGAGGUAAAAAACCUUUUCUGUUUACUUGCAUAACUUUAAAAUCAUAAGGAGAGAGAACUUCCUUCUCUCUUUUUCAGUGUUAUCUAUGUUAAGAAUGGCUUUGUGUUUUGGUGUUCUCCUUUCCACCUUUUCUACUUGAGACAACUUUGCUUGAAAAAUCUAUGUUUAGAUUAGAUAUUAGGAAAAAAUUCUUUACUGUGAGGGUGGUGAGACACUGGAACAAGUUGUCCAGAAAGGUUGUGAACUCCCCAUCCCUGGAAAUCUUCAUGACCAGGCUGGAUUGGGCUCUAAAUAACAUGAUCUAGUGAAAAGUGUUGCUGCCCACGGUAGAGGGGUUGGAUCUAGAUGAUCCUUAAGGUUCCUUCCAACCCCUACAAUUCUAUAAUUCUAUAAAAUAAGUAAAACCUUCCUCCAUGGAAGGCUGAUUGUUAUUUUAAUACUUGAAAUAUCAUGUGAAGUAUAAUUCAUGUAUUGAAGAAGUGUUAUACCUUUGGGAGAUGAUUCUUCUCUUUCUCUGCUAAUAACAAACAAUGCAAUUUUAUAUUAUGACAUAUUGUGACUACAAUAGGUUUAGAAAUUGAAAGUUAAAACUAGCAAACAAAUAUAAUUUCUCAAAGGAAUAAUUGUUUUUUAUGGCUCAGGGAAUAAAUAUCUGAAGCGGAAGGAAUGUUAAGAACUCCCAUCAUUUGCCACUUGACGAUUAAGGCUGUAACCUUUCAUGUUUUAUGAGAGAAGUUUUCGAACUUCUCCAUCUCAAUGAAAUAUUUCAGAGUUGUCAAGUCCACUAGUAGAAUAAACAUGAAGUGGGAUGCUUGGACUACAGUACAGUGGUCCUUCAGCUUUAGGCAUCUCAAGUAGAAAAAGUCAGUGGCAGUGGGGUCAGUUUGUCUUCUCUGACUUAGUAAAAGUGAGAGUCUCUGGCCUUGCUUCUAUUUUAAAGGCAUGCUUCUGGCAUCAGAAAAAUGCCCUGGUAGGCUAGAGAAUAAAAUAUAUGUUAUCCCACUGUUAUGUUUGUAUUUAAAAUACCUGUAUUUUAAAAAGUGGAAUAAAAAUAAGCAGAUUUUAGUUAAUUGACAAACAUGGCAAUAAUGACCAAGUUUCUGGGAAAAAAAAGGCAAGAAUUAAGAUUGUAAAUGUAUGCAAACAACUUUAGGUCAUAAUUUUGAUUGAAAUACAUUAUAAAAAACUUUCCUUGGAUGAGGAAAUAUGGGAAAUAUGUGACUGAAAACUUCUGCUCUUGGAUAAUCUGACUUAAGGGCUCCUCACACAUGACAGUGAUGCCAUUAUAUAGGAAGAGAACAGUUUCUGAGGCCCAUCCAAGGCAAAGUGUACAGUGUUGUGAAGUAAGGUUGGUGCUCUACUCUCAACUGUCUGUCAUAUGGAGACAGAAUUUAUUUUGUCAAAAUACUGAGAUAACAAUAACAAACUAAAAACAUUUACAGAAGAAGAUGUAGAAUAGUCUAUCCUACCAUAUCCAUGAAGGUAUACUUUUGUUUACUAACCUUUAUCUUUUUUUUUUCUUCCUUUUUUUUCUUUUUCUUAUUUUUCUUCUUUUUUUUUUAACAUGAUUUUGAGUUAUCCAUAAAAAAGUCACAUAGUCUUAUUUGUUACACCCUUCUUAAUUAUUUCCUUUAAUUUAGAUAAAAUAUAUAUUUUGUGGAAAUUAAACUUGUUUCCAUGGUAAAGGAAGAUUAAUAAGCUCUUUUUGUAUCACCACUUACAGUUCACUAUGAAACUGCCCUUGUGCAGCCUCAUCAGCUAUUUCUGUUGGCACACAACAGAGCUGGAGUUUUGCCUAGAGUAGCACAAUCUUUUUAUUUGCUGGAGAAACAGCUAGUCACCACCUCAGCUAUAUGAUACUCUGCCUACUGCUAUGCAGGGACUUAGUUGCUCACUGUUUGUGCUAGUGCCCACAUCUCUAAAGCUCUGUGAUGUCCACACCUUAUCAUUUUUUUCCUAACAGUUCUCUGUAUUCCUGUUUUUUAUAUAUUUCUGUUGGUUUCUUUCAGCCUCUUACUCUCAGUCAGUGCCUGACUUGACUACUUGCUUACAGUUGUCAUGCCAACUACCAAUCCUGGAAACUCAAGUAGAGAGAGGAUUUAUCCUUUUUUCUCCCCUUUUUUUGUGAGAAGUACUCACUUCACAGUUACCAAGCUGCGUGAACUGAAUGUAUGAAUUGCAUUGGAAAACAAUAUGUUAAAAGGGAAUUGCUUUAGAAAGGAAGAAACAUGGAAAUUUCAUCUCAGGUAAUAUUGCUCUGCGGAGAUUCCUAUAGCCAUUUGUUAGUGAAGAGAAGAAAAGAUUCAUUAUGGAAUGACCUAUGGCAUUUUAUAUUUGCAGUACAGUCUUCAACACGAUAAGCAAUAAGUUAAUAGCCAGUAUUUCACAGUCUAGCAACUGCAAACAUCUGUAUCUACAGUGUCCCCUUAUAUGAAUUUGGAUUGUUUGGUAAAUUAAGAUAAUAACCUUUAUAUA